AUCUACGGCCAUGCCCAAUCCCAUCUGAUCUCAGAAGCUAAGCAGGGUCGGGCCUGGUUAGUACUUGAAUGGGAGACCACCUAGGAAGACCAGGUGCCGUAGGUG
rnacentral:rRNA from 1 species